GCCUGUGAGGGUUGCUGGAGGUAUCAGAAGUGCGAAUGCUGACAUAAGUAACGAUAAAGCGGGUGAAAAGCCCGCUCGCCGGAAGACCAAGGGUUCCUGUCCAACGUUAAUCGGGGCAGGGUGAGUCGACCCCUAAGGCGAGGCCGAAAGGCGUAGUCGAUGGGAAACAGGUUAAUAUUCCCGUACUUGGUGUUACUGCGAAGGGGGGACGGAGAAGGCUAUGUUGGCCGGGCGACGGUUGUCCCGGUUUAAGCGUGUAGGUGUGUGUUCCAGGUAAAUCCGGUUCACUUUAACACUGAGGCGUGAUGACGAGGCACUACGGUGCUGAAGCAACAAAUGCCCUGCUUCCAGGAAAAGCCUCUAAGCAUCAGGUAACAUCAAAUCGUACCCCAAACCGACACAGGUGGUCAGGUAGAGAAUACCAAGGCGCUUGAGAGAACUCGGGUGAAGGAACUAGGCAAAAUGGUGCCGUAACUUCGGGAG
rnacentral:rRNA from 1 species